GGGAAGUUGGGGAGGCGCAGCCACAGACUGGGUCAGAGGGCGAUGCAAGUGCAAUAGGAUUCUACUGCUGACUGGCAAAGUGCAACAAAGCCCACCCCGUCCAGGCACCUUCAGGGGGAAAGCUUUAAUUUACAGCGCCGUGAAGCCAGAGGCAGGGAGACCUGGAUCUCAUCAUGCUGCUGCCCUUGCCCUCUGGACGGCACCGAGAAGCAGCGCUCUGUGGCCCCGAGGGCCCGUCUUCAGUGCCCUCCAGUCAUGACGAAGGCGGCAAUAGCAGGGCUGCACCGCGGCUGCCCAAGUGCGCGCGCUGCAGGAACCACGGCGUGGUCUCCAGCCGCAACGGCCACAAGCGGCUGUGCAUUGUGCAGGUGGCGGGAGUGCGCGUGCGCGGCUUGCUUGCUGGUGCUCGAGCAGCGACGAGUCACGGCGGCCCAGGUGGCGAGUGAGGCAAGUGGGUGUGCGCGCGGGUCUUUUAGCCCUUUCCUGCUAAAAGACAAGGCAUGCGCACAAGAGAGCCUGGAAGGAGGGAUGCGACCGAUCAGCUUCUCUCAUCAACUCCCUGGCUCCCGAAUCUUGCAGAUUGGCGUAAAGUCUCCCACUUAACGAGUUCCAUGACAGGCAGAGAUUCAGCAGGGGAAGUUUGCAGGGAUGGGAAAGACCUCACCUGCUGUCGUACAGCUGUUAAAGGUUACUCUGUUUGGUUAAGAAAGGCAUCAGGAGCCGUGGAUGUUCAGCUUCUGGCUACAGAUUAAACAUUCAUUGUAACUCCAAAAACACAGGCAGCAUACUGGAAAAAAGGGAAUAUCACCCUUCUAGCCUGAAUGAGGAAAAGAAAAGCAUUUGCAGAUAAGGAGCUGGAAUCCAUAAUGUUGGAAAGAGAGCUUGGACAAAGGAAGUUUGACAGAUUUACCACACAUCAGAGAAUACAACUGCUGAACAGAGAGCAAUUGCCAGCCUAUGAGGAAAAUGUAUUCAGAAUAAGACACUAUCAUUUUAGCAACUUGGCAUGUAUUAAUUCUGAGAAUCCCAUCCAGUGGCAUUAUUUCGGAUCACCCGUACCUUUUUGGGGAAAUGGGAGAAGAAAGAACUUCAGUGGGCUGCUGUGACGUUUUUGCCAAAUUCUAUGUUGAUAAGGUUUUUGAUGUUGCUUCCACUGGGCAGCUCUAUUCCUUCUGUUUUUGUUAUUUUUCCUUGGUUCAUUGGUGAUGUAGCACACUUGUCUAGUCCAAAUUCCAUUGCUAUAUUGAGCCACGCCCCACCCCACCCGGCUUCAGCGGCCCCUACCAUUGGCGGCCCAGGUUCUUUGGACCCAUUCACACAAUGGUGGCUACACUCCUGAAAGGAAGAUCUUAAAGGGGUCUGGCCCCUCACCAGGCUCACGGUUCAAGGCAGCAAUUGGCCCCAUGUCUCAGCUACUGUAAUACCCUGGGCACCUUGGAAUACCUUGUUUCUAAUUACUUGAAGCUUUAUGUAGCCCAUUUUGGUAUCUUACCUUUUAUUUUUUAUUUUAUUUAGCAUAUUUGUAUACCACCCACUACCGAAGUCGCUAGGUGGUUUACAACAUUAAAACAAACAAACCACACACUGAGUGGAUUAAAACAAACCAGCUACACACUUGUAUCACACUGAAUGCUCCUACAUUUUAAAGCUCUGUCACAACCCCCGUGAGCUAGAAAAGUGAUAUUGUAAUGUAAAGAAUAAAAGCAGAAUUUCUGUGGAAUUUACGUGAGCCAUCCAAUUCUGUGUCAGACCAUAUAGGCAGCUUUGGAAAACAUGUGAUUAAAAAUUGUAUUUGAGAAUGAUGCAUCUGAGAGUGUGUUGCUGGUGUUUUGCUUCAUAGACCUUCUGAAUACUUCCAACUGUAAUUAAUUUACUCUGAGGCAAACACUUUGCCUAUUGUGUGCUCUCAUAAGCCUUGCUUAUUUAUUUAUUUAUUUAAACAAUAAAAUGGCCAAAUGAGGAAAA